GACGAACGCUGGCGGCAUGCCUUAUACAUGCAAGUCGAGCGAACAGAUGAAGUGCUUGCACUUCUGACGUUAGCGGCGAACGGGUGAGUAACACGUAAGGAAUCUACCUAUAAGCGGGGGAUAACAUUCGGAAACGGGUGCUAAUACCGCAUAACAUCUUCUUCCGCAUGGAAGAAGAUUGAAAGACGGCUCUGCUGUCACUUAUAGAUGACCUUGCGGUGCAUUAGUUAGUUGGUGGGGUAAUGGCCUACCAAGACAAUGAUGCAUAGCCGACCUGAGAGGGUGAUCGGCCACAUUGGGACUGAGACACGGCCCAAACUCCUACGGGAGGCAGCAGUAGGGAAUCUUCCGCAAUGGGCGAAAGCCUGACGGAGCAAUGCCGCGUGAGUGAAGAAGGCCUUCGGGUCGUAAAACUCUGUUAUAAGAGAAGAACAAAUUGUAGAGUGACUGCUACAGUCUUGACGGUAUCUUAUCAGAAAGCCACGGCUAACUACGUGCCAGCAGCCGCCGUAA
rnacentral:rRNA from 1 species